CGUAGGCAGCAAACGUUGUUCGGAAUUACUGGGCGUAAAGAGUGUGUAGGCGGUUUCGCAAGUUUGGUGUGAAAUCUCCCGGCUUAACUGGGAGGGUGCGCCGAAAACUGCGAGGCUAGAGUGCUGGAGAGGAAAGCGGAAUUCCUGGUGUAGCGGUGAAAUGCGUAGAUAUCAGGAGGAACACCGGUGGUGUAGACGGCUUUCUGGACAGCUACUGACGCUGAGACACGAAAGCGUGGGGAGCAA
rnacentral:rRNA from 1 species